GUUAACUCCGAGGCGGCAGCGGCGGUAUUACGGAGGAUCCGGCGGUUAUCCGGAGUUACUGGGGUUGAGGGGGGCGUAGGCGGCUCCCUCAGUCAGCGGUGAAAUGUAUCGGCUCAACCGAUAAGCUGCCGUUGAUACGGGGGAGCUUGAGUUGGGUUGAGGCAGGCGGAAUGUGCGGUGUAGCGGUGAAAUGCUUAGAUAUCGCACAGAACGCCGAUUGCGUAGGCAGCUUGCCAAGCCCACACUGACGCUGAGGCACGAAAGCGUGGGGAUCAAACAGGAUUAGAUACCCUUGUAGUC
rnacentral:rRNA from 1 species